rnacentral:piRNA from 1 species
UUUUCGUUGUGGACAAUUUGG